ACAUUAGUCACAGGAAAUGCGCGCACACACAACGAGAGCAUCACAAACCUGGGAGGCCUGCAGCUCCUGGCAGCCAGCCUCUCUUCAGCAGGAUUUCAACACGGACUGCAGAAGUUGCUUGGCUAGGCUGUGACAGGCUUCACGUGUCCAGCCUCCUCCCCCACCCCCCCAAACUGAGAGACUUCCCAGGUCAUUUCUUCUUUCCCAUCAUGCUUUGCUCCGUGGCGUCCUGGUUUGGCAGGGAAGUUCAACCGUAACACUCCAGGUUUAUCUAUUUAGAUAUUUUAGGGGGUUGAUAAAAAGCACAUAGCAUAAUGUUUACCAUUCAAAACAUUCCUAAAUGUCCAAUUCGGUGGUAUUUAGUGCGUUCACCAUAUGGUGCAACCGUCACCACCAUCCGUUUCCAGAACAUUUUACCACUGCAGGAGGCCGCUUAGCCUCAACAAGAAAUUUCCUCUCAUUCCUCCCUCCCUGGCCUCUGGAAAAACAAAAAGGACAAAAGCUAGACAAAGACAUGAAGUUAACAUCCAUAGAAGAAAGAGCAGUGAACAGUCUGAGAUGAUGCAGUUUUUGUUCUCUGCUUCGUCAUACAGCCGUACUUCCUGGAUGCUAACAAGCUGAGGCCCAACACUGAAUCCAAAGGGCUCCCCGGAGACCAUCAGCAGGACUGCAACUUCAUAGCCUAAUUCAGGGGCCCAGAGUGGUGGGUCGGGUGAUGAGGGCUUCACUCCCUGGAUGGUCUAUCUUCUCAACAGCCAUGUGGCCUAGGCUCCUGGGAUUUACUGAAGGCUUCAGGGAGAACCUUGGACAUCUCUCUCUGACCAGUGACUCUUGACUAUUUAGGAUAACAUGGGACAGCUUGAGGAAGGGACAAAAGCUGGAAAUCUCAUAUGGAGAUAAAGCCAGAUGGUGUCCAGGCCCACUGGGGAUUUUUGUCCCUGAAUUUCUCCAGGGCAUUUUAGAGACUUCUAUUCUUCCAUAGAUGUCCACAGCUCCUUCCUUCCGUGUGGUUAUCUCUGGGACAAGAAUCCUGACCACCACCAGGAAGAUGUUUGCUGAGUCUUACCUAAAUCCCAGAUGAGUGACAGCACAAGGGGAGGCCAGGGUUCAGGGAGGCAGGGCUAACCUCUAGGAGUGGGAACUGUCCUCUGAAUUAAGAGACUUCCUGGUGGGUCCUUCCUAAAUUUAUGUGUUCAGAGAGAUUGUGUGUGCGCUUUACAGGUGUGUAUACAUGCAGGAGUGUGCACACCCACUUGUGUGUGUGCUUUAUGGGUGUGUAUACAUGCAGCUGUGUGCACCCACUGUGAGCUCAUAUUUAGAGGUCAGAGGUAGACACUGGGUGUCUUCUGGGUUUUUUUUUUUUUUGUUGUUGUUUUUUUUUUUUUCUGGAGCUGGGGACCGAACCAGGGCCUUGAGCUUGCCAGGCAAGCGCUCUACCACUGAGCUAAAUCCCCAACCCCGACACUGGGUGUCUUCUGCAAUCACUCUGCACCUUAUUUCUUGAGACAGUGUCACAAAACCUAGGGCUCACUGACUUGGCUAGGUUCCCUUGGCCUGUGAGCUCCAGAGACCUGCUCGUCUGUGGCUCUCCAAUGCUUGAGACCGUAGGCCCGCACUGCCAUAUGUGGGUGCUGGGGAUCUGAACUUAAGCCCUUUGCCAAACUGAAUCACUUCUCAAGCCCCUGUUUUCAGAUAGGUUUUUAUAUUUUAGAGCAGUUUUAGGUUUACAGAAAAACAACAGACAGUACAGAGUCCCCAUAUAGUCCAUAAUCUUCUGGCCUCUCCUCCUCCAAACGCAUAACCUCCUCACCAUGGAUACUCUGCUGUAAAGAAUGGCCGCUGAUCCUAUAGAGUCUAGUUUUUAUUAGGCUGACUCUUGGUGUGUAUUCUAAGUGUUUGGACAAAUGUACGUACAUGUCCACUGUGGGGUAUCCACCCUGAGCAAUUUCCCUGUCCUUGAGCCACUCAUCCCUCCUUCCCCUUGACCCUUUGGCAACCAGUGAUGUUCUCACUGACUAUGUCAUGCUCCUCUUGUGCUACCGAGUUGGCACGACUCAGUCCUGUCUCUCAGAUGGUCUCUCACUUUGCAAUAGGCACGUGAAGCUCUCCCCUACGUGAAGCUCUCCUCUAACCUAUGGAGGUCCCCUGGUGCAUCUCCUCGCAGUACUAAUAUACUCCACUGCCUGGGUACUAGUCUUCAUGCAUUCGCUCGGGGAAGGGCGGUUUGAUUGCUUCUAUGCUUGAGUCAUUAGGAGUAAAGCCGGAGCUGUAAACACGAGGUUCGUGUGCAGACUCAAAUCUUUCAACUCCUCUGGGUAAAUACCAACGGGCACAAUCCCUGGAUCCGCUGAGGUAGGGCUGGCUUCAGACCGGGGUUCCUCUUUGCACAGCUUCACAGAGUCAGGGUUGAAAAGCAGUAAAAGCUCCCCUACUUAAACUGAGGGGCUUGGAGAAUCUGAGUGAAUGUUUACAGGCAAGCUCACAUUUAGAUCAUUUUCCCUGCUCUGAAAUGUAAAUGUUUUCUCCUGGCUGCUGGCAGUUGAUUCUCUCCCGCACGUCUCAGCCCCCCAACCACUCCCAUCUGCUUCCUGCCCACACCACAAUUUUACCCUUUCCAGAUUUCCACACAAAUGGGAAUCUUGUAAUGCAUUUUGGGCCUGGCUUCUUUGACUUAACCUGUUUUUGAGGUCCGCCCCGCCGCAGCCACUGGAAGUUCUUCCUCUCCGUGCAGAAUGGUGUUAAGCCAUAUAUGGAUAUACCACAGUAUCUUCAUCCAUUAACCCGCGGGUAUUUGGGUUGUUUCCUGUGGACAGGAAACUGUUGAGAAUAACACUGCUGAGAGCAUCCGUGCCUAAAUAUUUGUGUGCAGACUCUGGAAAGAACGGGAUCCUAGCUAGCUCUGCUACCCGGUGGGAGCAAGGCAUGGAAGGGAAACGUGGGGUGGGGGGUGGGGAUUCAUGGAGGCAGCUGUCUCUGUCUACAGGCUCUCCCUUCACGGGCUUCUGCACCCAGCCUGCAGCUCUGAACAAAAGGUCAGGGGCUGGGAGAGAGAGGACGAUGUGUUUAUUUGUCUCCAUGGUGCUGGGAAAACGCCCUUGUCUACUUUGUAGGGUGGGCUGGGAGGAGGUCGCCACUCCCACCGCCCUGAUGAUAUUGGCAAGUCUCAUCAGAAUGGCUGGUUUCCAGCAAGUUCCAUCUACCCUCCUUCCCACAUGCUCCAUGGCCCACACUUAAACAGCGUGAUCCGGCCUCAGUGGGUCAGAUGAUUCCGUGCUGCCAUUUUACAAGGUUCCUGAGCCACAGAAAGGCAAGGGACGCACCUACGUCACUGCCGGAGUCGGCAGACCAGUGGUGGGGUGGGGGUGGGGGGGGGAGCUCAGUGGCAGGUAUGAAGUAAGACAUCUAAUGAGAUGCCCGCCCCGCUCCGUCACAUCUGCGCUCCACUGCACCCCCCAGCUUCCCUUACCAUCCAAUAUCUGGUCCUCUCUUUUAGGGAUUUCACAGUCCAGCAGGCCUGGGUUCGAAUCCUUGGCCAACCAGACAACCAGAAAGAAGUUCACUGGAGUUAAUUAAAUACCAGCCUGGGGCAGAAGUAAGGUCACUGUUGGGUGUCUGCUCAACCUCUCUACAGUCUUGCAUGCUGGGGAAACAGGUGGACAAGAAACCUGUUGUCCUUCUUUCUCAUCUAAAAACAUGGCCCUCUGGGACCUAAAGCACUUGUCAGGGGAAGUCAGUAAAGUGGCCAUUAAAUCAGAAACAAAAAGAGAGGCAAACACAAGGGAGGCUAAGAGCCUGCUCUCCAGAGGCAGGAAACCAGUGUGGGCCAGCCAGUUCUGAGACAGCAGCACCGAGGCCCUCACUCUCUGGAAGCCCUAGGCUGUAGCCUCCAGGCUUCCUUUUUAGAGUCCUUUUCUGCCUUUCUCAGAGGUUGAGUGAGUAGAUGAUGGGGAGCCGGCUGGAGGGAUGCUCAGGAAGGAGCCACUCCCCCGGAAGGCUAGCCAUGCCGAGCCACACAAGGAUAAUGUUCUGGAUGGCAGGUAAUGAUACGGAAAAGGUGUUCCCCGGCCUGCGAUGCCCUGCAGGAAGGAAGGCAAGCAUGUCACUGUCUCUACCAUUAGCAGAGACUUCUUUGUGAGUCACUGAAGCUCAUUGGAGCAGGAGGCACAAAGAAAUAGGCACCAAACUAGGGCUCAAGCACAGAACCUGACACUAAGUACCAGGACACAGCUUCAUGGGACAAAAGGGAAGUGGGUACUCUCUGCCUGAGGCCACUUGUGAAUGCCAAAUGCUCAGGACAGGCAUUGAACGUAAUUCGUUGAAGAGAGUCUCCCCAAAUUUUUAGUCUACCUAGAAGCUGUGAAGAAGGCUGUUUGGGAAUAGAGGCUGUAAGUGUGAUUAAGAGAGAAUGAAGUGGGCUGGAGAGAUGGCUCAGUGGUUAAGAGCCCCGACUGCUCUUCCAGAGGUCCUGAGUUCAAUUCCCAGCAACCACAUGGUGGCUCACAACCAUCUGUAAAGAGAUCUGAUGCCCUCUUCUGGUGUAUCUGAAGACAGUUACAGUGUACUUAUAUAUAAUAAAUGAAUAAAUCUUUUUUUAAAAAAAGA